rnacentral:rRNA from 1 species
UGCUAAUACCGCAUACGCCCUACGGGGGAAAGCAGGGGAUCUUCGGACCUUGCGCUAAUAGAUGAGCCUAAGUCGGAUUAGCUAGUUGGUGGGGUAAAGGCCUACCAAGGCGACGAUCUGUAGCGGGUCUGAGAGGAUGAUCCGCCACACUGGGACUGAGACACGGCCCACACUCAUACGGGAGGCAGCAGUGGGGAAUAUUGGACAAUGGGGGGAACCCUGAUCCAGCCUUGCCGCGUGUGUAAAGAAGGCUUUUUGGUUGUAAAGCACUUUAAGCGAGGAGGAGCCGCUCUAGGUUAAUACCCUAGAUGCGUGGACGUUACUCGCAGAAUAAGCACCGGCUAACUCUGUGCCACCAGCCGCGGUAAUACGGGAGGGUGCGAGCGUUAUUCGGAUUUACUGGGCGUAAGCGCGCGUAGGUGGCUAAUUAAGUCAAAUGUGAAAUCCCCGAGCUUAACUUGGGAAUUGCAUUCGAUACUGGUUAGCUAGAGUAUGGGAGAGGAUGGUAGAAUUCCAGGUGUAGCGGUGAAAUGCGUAGAGAUCUGGAGGAAUACCGAUGGCGAAGGCAGCCAUCUGGCCUAAUACUGACACUGAGGUGCGAAAGCAUGGGGAGCAAACAGGAUUAGAUACCCUGGUAGUCCAUGCCGUAAACGAUGUCUACUAGCCGUUGGGGCCUUUGAGGCUUUAGUGGCGCAGCUAACGCGAUAAGUAGACCGCCUGGGGAGUACGGUCGCAAGACUAAAACUCAAAUGAAUUGACGGGGGCCCGCACAAGCGGUGGAGCAUGUGGUUUAAUUCGAUGCAACGCGAAGAACCUUACCUGGCCUUGACAUACAGAGAACUUUCCAGAGAUGGAUUGGUGCCUUCGGGAACUCUGAUACAGGUGCUGCAUGGCUGUCGUCAGCUCGUGUCGUGAGAUGUUGGGUUAAGUCCCGCAACGAGCGCAACCCUUUUCCUUACUUGCCAGCAUUUCGGAUGGGAACUUUAAGGAUACUGCCAGUGACAAACUGGAGGAAGGCGGGGACGACGUCAAGUCAUCAUGGCCCUUACGGCCAGGGCUACACACGUGCUACAAUGGUCGGUACAAAGGGUUGCUACACAGCGAUGUGAUGCAAUCUCAAAAAGCCGAUCGUAGUCCGGAUUGGAGUCUGCAACUCGACUCCAUGAAGUCGGAAUCGCUAGUAAUCGCGGAUCAGAAUGCCGCGGUGAAUACGUCCCGGGCCUUGUACACACCGCCCGUCACACCAUGGGAGUUUGUUGCACCAGAAGUAGGUAGUCUACUAGGAGGGCGCUACACGGUGUGCGAUGACUGGGGUGAGUCGUACAGGGAAUACCGUUAA